UCCGAGUUGACCCCGGCAGUCUCCUGCGAGUCCCCGCCAUUACGCGCUGGCAACACAGGACAAGGGUUGCGCUCGUUGCGGGACUUAACCCAACAUCUCACGGGUUUCACCCUGCAUGUCAAGCCCAGGUAAGGUUCUUCGCGUUGCAUCGAAUUAAGCCGCAUGCUCCGCCGCUUGUGCGGGCCCCCGUCAAUUCCUUUGAGUUUUAGCCUUGCGGCCGUACUCCCCAGGCGGGGCACUUAAUGCGUUAGCUCCGGCACGGGAGGAGUCGACACCUCCCACACCUAGUGCCCAUCGUUUACGGCGUGGACUAC
rnacentral:misc_RNA from 1 species